rnacentral:rRNA from 1 species
UUGAACGCUGGCGGCAGGCCUAACACAUGCCAGUCGCACGGUAACAGGAAGCAGCUUGCUGCUUUGCUGACGAGUGGCGGACGGGUGAGUAAUGUCUGGGAAACUGCCUGAUGGAGGGGGAUAACUACUGGAAACGGUAGCUAAUACCGCAUAACGUCGCAAGACCAAAGAGGGGGACCUUCGGGCCUCUUGCCAUCGGAUGUGCCCAGAUGGGAUUAGCUAGUAGGUGGGGUAACGGCUCACCUAGGCGACGAUCCCUAGCUGGUCUGAGAGGAUGACCAGCCACACUGGAACUGAGACACGGUCCAGACUCCUACGGGAGGCAGCAGUGGGGAAUAUUGCACAAUGGGCGCAAGCCUGAUGCAGCCAUGCCGCGUGUAUGAAGAAGGCCUUCGGGUUGUAAAGUACUUUCAGCGGGGAGGAAGGGAGUAAAGUUAAUACCUUUGCUCAUUGACGUUACCCGCAGAAGAAGCACCGGCUAACUCCGUG